rnacentral:rRNA from 1 species
UACGAAGGGUGCAAACGUUGCUCGGAAUUAUUGGGCGUAAAGCGCACGUAGGCGGCUUAGCAAGUCGGAAGUGAAAUCCCACGGCUCAACCAUGGAAGUGCUUUCGAAACUGCUGAGCUUGAGUACUUAAGAGGAUCGCGGAAUUCCCGGUGUAGAGGUGAAAUUCGUAGAUAUCGAGAGGAACACCUGCGGCGAAGGCGGGUUGCUGGGCUGACACUGACGCUGAGGCGCGAAAGCUAGGGGAGCGAACGGG